rnacentral:pre_miRNA from 1 species
GGAGUACUCCCUCCAUUCGGAAUUACUUGUCUCGGAAAUGGAUGUAUCUAUAACUAAAAUACAUCUACAUACAUCCAUUUCUGCGACAAGUAAUUCCGAACGGAGGGAGUAUUGG